rnacentral:misc_RNA from 1 species
UCCAUCUCAAACCAGGUGCGGUCGCGGCCCCCGGGGGCUUGCUCCCGGGUGGUAGGGGUAACACCCUCACGCGCCGCCUGCCUGUACCCUCUUUUUACGAGCACCUUUCGUUCUCCUUCGGCGGGGCAACCUGCCGCUGGAACCAAAACAAAACCUUUUUUGCAUCUAGCAUUACCUGUUCUGAUACAAACAAUCGUUA